CGGUCUCCCGGGAGAGGGACAGAGCUGGAACAAAGGGGUCUUUGUUCCCGGCUCCUGGGGGGCGGGAGUUGCUCUGGCUCGCUUUUCUCUGUUCCUCAGCGUCCCUGGGGGUACUCGAGGCUUUGCGCCGCAGUCUCCCCAGAUGGAGCGCCGUCCUCCACGACCUUAGAGAGCGGGUCAGGGCGCGGCGCCCCGGGCCACCGUGGGCUCUCGAAGGCUCUACGGAGAGACCCAGGGGGUGUCGGUGCAGAAGGAGGAGGGAAAGGAGGAGGAAGCCUGAAACGAGGCGGGUUCAGAGCUCUAAUCGCGGCUGCUCUGGUCACGGUGCAGCGGCUGGGGAAUAGCUCCUUCUGCUGCCCCCCCUUCUUUGCCCGGCCCCAUCCUCUGCACGCCUGGCCCCCCGCCCCUGCCGUCAUCACGCUCCUGGUGGCUUCUUCCAGCUUGGCACUUUCCAACAGAGCCAUUCUUGUGGACAAACUUUGAUGGAGAAUUUCACACAGCGCUGGAAAAAUGCCGGUUAUGAAAGGAUUACUGGCGCCACAGAACACCUUCCUGGACACUAUUGCCACCCGUUUCGACGGAACACAUAGCAACUUCAUCCUGGCCAAUGCCCAAGUGGCAAAGGGUUUCCCCAUAGUCUACUGUUCAGAUGGCUUCUGUGAGCUGGCUGGGUUUGCACGAACUGAAGUCAUGCAGAAGAGUUGCAGCUGCAAGUUUUUGUUUGGGGUGGAGACCAACGAGCAGCUGAUGCUUCAGAUAGAAAAGUCCCUGGAGGAGAAAGUAGAGUUCAAAGGAGAAAUUAUGUUCUACAAGAAGAAUGGGGCUCCGUUUUGGUGCCUAUUGGAUAUUGUUCCUAUAAAGAAUGAGAAAGGAGAUGUAGUCCUUUUCCUGGCCUCGUUCAAAGAUAUAACAGACACGAAAGUGAAGAUUUCUUCAGAAGAUAAAAAAGAAGACAGAGCCAAAGGAAGAUCAAGAGCAGGGAGCCACUUUGCCUCAGCCCGGAGACGGAGCCGAGCUGUCCUUUACCACAUCUCGGGACACCUGCAAAGAAGAGAAAAGAACAAAUUGAAAAUAAAUAAUAACGUGUUUGUAGAUAAACCAGCAUUUCCAGAGUAUAAGGUUUCUGAUGCAAAAAAGUCGAAGUUCAUCCUGCUGCAUUUCAGCACUUUCAAAGCUGGCUGGGACUGGCUCAUUUUGUUGGCAACGUUUUAUGUUGCUGUGACAGUCCCUUACAAUGUGUGCUUCAUUGGCAAUGAGGAUCUGUCCACAACUCGGAGCACAACGGUCAGUGACAUUGCAGUGGAGAUUCUUUUCAUUAUAGAUAUUAUUCUAAAUUUCCGAACAACUUAUGUUAGCAAGUCUGGCCAAGUUAUAUUUGAAGCGAGAUCCAUUUGCAUCCACUACGUCACCACCUGGUUCAUCAUUGAUCUGAUUGCUGCCUUGCCCUUUGACCUCCUGUAUGCUUUCAAUGUCACAGUGGUGUCCCUCGUACAUCUCCUGAAGACUGUUAGGCUGCUGCGACUUCUGCGCCUCCUGCAGAAGCUGGAUCGUUAUUCUCAACACAGCACAAUCGUUCUCACCCUGCUCAUGUCCAUGUUUGCUCUCCUUGCACACUGGAUGGCAUGUAUCUGGUAUGUCAUUGGAAAAAUGGAGAGGGAGGACAACAGCCUUGUCAAGUGGGAAGUCGGCUGGCUUCAUGAGCUGGGAAAGAGACUGGAAUCUCCAUACUAUGGCAACAACACACUGGGGGGCCCGUCCAUCCGCAGUGCCUAUAUUGCGGCCCUGUAUUUCACUCUCAGCAGCCUCACAAGCGUUGGAUUUGGGAAUGUGUCUGCUAACACAGAUGCAGAGAAGAUCUUCUCCAUCUGCACCAUGCUGAUUGGAGCCCUGAUGCACGCCUUGGUAUUUGGGAAUGUGACCGCCAUCAUACAGAGGAUGUACUCUAGAUGGAGCCUGUACCACACUAGAACCAAGGACCUAAAGGAUUUCAUCCGUGUGCAUCACCUGCCCCAGCAACUCAAGCAGAGGAUGCUAGAGUACUUUCAGACAACUUGGUCAGUCAACAAUGGAAUAGAUUCAAAUGAGCUUUUGAAAGACUUUCCAGAUGAGCUGCGCUCUGACAUCACAAUGCAUCUGAACAAGGAGAUCCUACAGCUGUCCCUGUUUGAAUGUGCCAGCCGGGGCUGCCUCAGGUCUCUGUCUCUCCAUAUUAAAACCUCAUUCUGUGCUCCAGGAGAGUAUCUGCUGCGCCAAGGGGACGCUUUGCAGGCCAUCUACUUCGUGUGCUCAGGCUCUAUGGAGGUUCUCAAAGACAGCAUGGUGUUGGCUAUUCUAGGGAAGGGAGAUUUAAUUGGAGCAAAUUUAUCAAUUAAAGACCAAGUGAUCAAGACCAACGCUGAUGUGAAGGCGCUGACCUACUGUGAUCUACAGUGCAUCAUCCUGAAAGGUCUCUUUGAGGUGCUGGGUCUUUACCCAGAGUAUGCACACAAAUUUGUAGAAGACAUCCAGCACGAUCUCACAUACAACCUUCGAGAAGGUCAUGAGAGUGAUGUAAUAUCAAGAUUAUCGAACAAAUCUACAGUCUCACAGGCAGAGCCCAAGGGGAAUGGAAGCAUCAACAAAAGACUUCCAUCCAUUGUAGAAGAUGAGGAAGAAGAAGAAGAGGUGGAGGAAGAGGAGACUACCUCCCUUUCUCCCAUCUACACAAGAGGAUCUUCUGUCUCACAUAGCAAAAAGACUGGAAGCAAUAAGAGCUACCUAGGUUUGAGCUUAAAGCAACUGGCCUCAGGAACAGUACCAUUCCAUUCACCUAUCAGAGUCUCCAGUGCCAACUCCCCUAAAACCAAGCAGGAAGCUGACCCACCUAACCAUGGCAGAAAGAAAGAGAAAAACCUGAAAGUGCAGCUUUCUAGCCUGGGUACUGCUGGAACCCCAGAGCUUAGUCCAAGGAUUGUUGAUGGAAUUGAAGAUGGUAACAGCAGCGAGGAAACUCAGACUUUUGACUUUGGCUCUGAACAAAUCAGGCCAGAGCCCAGGACUUCCCCUCCCCUUGGAGAAUCAGAGAUUGGAGCUGCAUUUCUGUUCAUCAAGGCUGAAGAAACCAAGCAGCAGAUAAACAAGCUCAACAGUGAGGUCACAACACUGACUCAGGAGGUUUCCCAGCUAGGGAAAGAUAUGAGAAGCAUCAUGCAACUUCUGCAAAACAUCUUGUCACCUCAGCAGCCAUCACAAUUUUGUUCUCUAUAUCCCACCCCAAUGUGUCCUUCCAGAGAAAGUUUACAGACUAGGGUCAGCUGGAGUGCUCACCAGCCUUGCCUACAUUUGCAGGCAAGUGGAGCACAUCUUUACCAUGGUAAUGUCACCUCUGGUAUCUGGAGUGUCGAUCCAUCCUUGGUGGGCAGCAGCCCUCAACGAACUGAAGCUCACGAGCAAAACCCAGCAGACGGUGAAGUGCAUCAUUCUCCAAACCUGGAUUAUUCCCCCUCCCACUGCCAGGUUAUCCAAGAAGGCCACUUGCAGUUCCUAAGGUGCAUCUCCCCCCAUUCAGAUACCACACUGACACCUUUGCAGUCCAUCUCGGCCACUCUCUCAUCUUCUGUGUGCUCCUCAUCAGAAACAUCCUUGCACCUGGUUCUCCCAAGUAGAUCAGAGGAGGGCAGCAUCACUCAUGGACCUGUGAGUUCUUUCAGUUUGGAAAACUUACCAGGCUCUUGGGACGGAGAAGGACUGAUGUCAGCCUCAACAGAACCCCUGGAGAACUUUCCAGUAGACGUUGUCACAAGCACAGUGGAUGUAAAGGACAGCAAAGCCAUAAACGUAUAAUAUCAGCACACAAGGGCAGCUUUCAAUGCCAAAGCCACUGCUGCAUGACAGCUCUAGUUUGCCUUUGUGGCUUCUAGCAGUAGGUGAACAAAUCAGAAUACGCAUCUCUAGGAGUAUGAGAUGCCCAGUGAACUGGUUGGAAACACAUGGUAAUUUUCUAUGCAGCACCAUCUCUCCUCUCAAUUGACUUCAGUGACUUAACAAGCAGCUCCUGCACCAGCUGGAUAAGAACACGAAGCCUCUGAAAGGCCAGGGCUCCCAGGGUUCCUUACCUGCCAGUGCCUUAUUCUUUAGAGCCAAGUCCACCUCCACCUUGACGCACAAGGAUUCUUCCUCAGCUGAGGUUGGCUAUUGGACCGAACAGUACUAUUCUGAAUGUUCUGAACUGUCAAGAGUGAGCUGGAGUGUUUUAAAGAUUGAACAUCUGGCUCCAAGCUAGUGCCUUUGGGUAGAGUCUGAGAAAUUUAUCACAUGGUCCCUGCCAUGAUAAUCCUUUACAGAGUGUAAUGAUGAACCUUGGUUGUCAACUUGAAACAACUGGAAAAGAAAGUGCAACAUCCAGCUGCUGAGAAACCCCAGAAAUCCCUGCCUCCUGGUGUUCAUGCCUUCCUGCAACCUCUUCUUCCUGAUUCUGGAUUGGACCUAGUAAAUUCUUCCAGCAAAUACAAAACAAGUGAAAUGAUGUCAUCUCCACUGUGAGGUGACUCUUCAAACAAUACCCUGGGCCUCCCUGCUUUCUUACUGUUGUCAACCCUGUCAAAAUCUACAUAUUAUAUUCAAAGAUAAGCAGUGUCAAGUAAUACAUCAGACACUAUGUGACAGACUGCCUCUUAGUGUAUGCCGAUUUCUGUGCUCACUUCUUAGAGACUUCCCAUGUGAUGCAGUCAGGAAGAAACUUGAAAGACUGAAUGAUUCAUCCCUUUGCCACAAAUCAUGAGAUGAUUACUUUUGUUUAUUUUGACAAACAGUUUUCCUCUGUGUUUAUUCUUUAUGAUUAGUUAUUUUAAAAAAAAAUUGUUUCAGUAUUUAUAUAAUUUUUCCCUAAAAGCCUGUAUUGUGGUUAAGGCCUAAAAUCAAGGAACUCUGGAGCAUAAAGAUAAGAUAGUGAGUUUGAGUUAGCUUGAACUACACAGACCCUGCCCCCCCCAAAAAGAACCUGUGUUUUGACACAGAACUGUGAGCGUGUUAACACUUUACUACUUCCUGCACAUGGGAAGACAAGCAGGUUCCCUUCUCUGGAGGAACCUCGUAAGGAGUCUGGAUCUCUUAGGAGGCCUGAGACACCUGUGUAGCCCAACUCAGGACAAGCUUCCCCUCUUAUUUUCAAGAUAUUCAUAUAUCAUUGACAAUUUCUUUGCCUGGGACACAAUUUGUUUUCCUUAUACAUAAUGCAAAGUGUCAGGCCUUUCAUAUUUCUGAGAGUUACAUGGGCUGAAAGGCCUUUACUUGAUCACAGUUAUGGCUGGAAGGUCAUUGGCACACUUCUUCAUUAUUUUCUUUAUUAAAACAUUUGUUUUUUAAAAAACUACAUUCUACCACAGAUGUUAUCUGAAAAUGAAA